AGUAGAGGGCGGUAUGCUUCGUAGCAUUACUGCCCUAUUACUUGUAGUUUUGCCAGAGGUUCCUGGGUGCUCUUAAUCGAGUGUCUAGGGAUGCUGGCAGGUUUACUUUGAAAAAAUUAGAGUGCUCAAAGCAGGCUAUUACGCUUGAAUAUUCGUGCAUGGAAUAAUAGAAUAGGAAGUUGUUUCUAUUUUGUUGGUUUUCGGAAAUCGACUUAAUGAUUAAUAGGGACAGUCGGGGGCAUUUGUAUUCAAACGACAGAGGUGAAAUUCUUGGACCGUUUGAAGACAAACUACUGCGAAAGCAUUUGCCAAGAAUGUUUUCAUUAAUCAAGAACGAAAGUUAGAGGUUCGAAGGCGAUUAGA
rnacentral:rRNA from 1 species